rnacentral:rRNA from 1 species
UAUGUUUGACAUGGUUCUUGAAAGGCGCCCGAUCUCGUCUGAUCUCGGAAGCUAAGCAGGGUCGGGCCUGGUUAGUACUUGGAUGGGAGACAUGGUUCUUGAAUUU